UUGGAGUUCGGAAUUAUGCGCGUGCGUACAAGUGUAUGGGCUAAUAAACGAAAAGUGCACCACAAGCAUGGCAUGAGUCGGCUAUUACGUACAUAAAUACGGACUUAUUACUAUACAAUGUAAAUCAUGGAACCGAGGGGAUCGAUGGCAUUUUGGCUUAGUCGUUGCACCCUGAGCCUGCGAUGAGCUAACGCAAACUCGAUUUCUCGACUACGAAAAAAAACAGGAAAACACAGGAAAAGACAGAAAAAGAGGGAUUUAAGACACUUGGCCUACAGGCCAGUGUAAUAAUUUGUACUUAAUAUGUGGGAAUAACAGGCAGCACUCGCUACCUUUUAGGUAUUCUAGUAGUUAUUUGUUAGUGCCAUAGAUAUCUUAUAUACACUAGAUAGCGCAUCUCUUUUAGUAAAGUUGAAGCCAAGAAUAUUCCAGCGGUUACCCCCAUUUGAAUAGAUGGCGGCCAUGUUGGUCGUUCCCACUUGCUAAUAAACGCAUAAAAACAACAAUAACUUUCAUCAUUUGAAUAGUUUGAAAAUGUAUUUGGAAUAGGUUUAACUUAAUGUUUAAGUUCCCUGUUUAAGAA